AAACGACUCUCGGCAACGGAUAUCCCGGCUCUCGCAUCGAUGAAGAACGUAGCGAAAUGCGAUACUUGGUGUGAAUUGCAGAAUCCCGUGAACCAUCGAGUCUUUGAACGCAAGUUGCGCCCGAAGCCAUUAGGCUAAGGGCACGUCUGCCUGGGUGUCACGC
rnacentral:rRNA from 4 species